rnacentral:rRNA from 1 species
GAUGAACGCUGGCGGCGCGCCUAACACAUGCAAGUCGAACGGACGAUGAAAAGCUUGCUUUUCAAAGUUAGUGGCGGACGGGUGAGUAACGCGUGGGUAACCUGCCUCAUACAGGGGAAUAGCAGCUGGAAACGGCUGAUAAAACCGCAUAAGCGCACAGUGCCGCAUGGCACAGUGUGAAAAACUCCGGUGGUAUGAGAUGGACCCGCGUCUGAUUAGCUGGUUGGUGGGGUAACGGCCCACCAAGGCGACGAUCAGUAGCCGGCCUGAGAGGGUGAUCGGCCACAUUGGGACUGAGACACGGCCCAAACUCCUACGGGAGGCAGCAGUGGGGAAUAUUGCACAAUGGGGGGAACCCUGAUGCAGCGACGCCGCGUGAAGGAAGAAGUAUCUCGGUAUGUAAACUUCUAUCAGCAGGGAAGAUAAUGACGGUACCUGACUAAGAAGCCCCGGCU